UGAGACCAGUUUUUUUAUUUUUCAAUUUUUGUAAUAUCACGAGUUUCUUCUUUAUAUUUUGUUUGGAAUACUUCGUUUUUUAAAUUAUUUAUCGAAAACAAACAAUGAAGCCCAUUGUUAGAAGACGUAUAUACGUAUGAGAACAAUAAGAGGGGCAGAAGAUUUGGAACGUCCACACUGAACAACCCAAAUGACGAAUUGGAUUUCAAAAAGAAUAAAAGGAUAACAAUAAGAUGAUUAUUGGAGUUUUUUAGACAAUGAAGAUCAGAAAUAAUAUUAAUUACUCAACAACAACCAGGCAGGGUCAGUAAUUGCUCCAAAUAAUGUGCAAUAUUAGUUUUUUGAACAAAAAAGUUUUCAAAAAAUGUUAAUUACUAACAACAACCAGAUAGGGUCAGUCAUUGCAGAUACCAAUUUUCAGAUCCCUGGAAAAUACCCCGAAUAAUGUUGUGGGUUUCGACUAAUCACAACAAUUCGGCGAAGGCACCGCCUUUGAUGAAAC